GGUGACAUCGGAUAGUGGUUAUUCCGCGGCCUUGCUAUAGACUUGAUCUUGAGGCCGUGCCUUCGGGCUCGAGAGUUCGAAUCUCUCUGUCAUCG